UUACGGCUAGCUUGCACCUGGUGGCGAGUGGCCUACGGGUGAGUAAUACAUCGGAACAUGUCCUGUAGUGGGCCAAUAGCCCGGCGAAAGCCGGAUUAAUACCGCAUACGAUCUACGGAUGAAAGCGGGGGACCUUCGCGCGUCGCGCUAUAGGGUUGGCCGAUGGCUGAUAAGCUAGUUGGUGGGGUAAAGGCCUACCAAGGCGACGAUCAGUAGCUGGUCUGAGAGGACGACCAGCCACACUGGGACUGAGACACGGCCCAGACUCCUACGGGAGGCAGCAGUGGGGAAUUUUGGACAAUGGGCGAAAGCCUGAUCCAGCAAUGCCGCGUGUGUGAAGAAGGCCUUCGGGUUGUAAAGCACUUUUGUCCGGAAAGAAAUCCUUGGCUCUAAUACAGCCGGGGGAUGACGGUACCGGAAGAAUAAGCACCGGCUAACUACGUGCCAGCAGCCGCGGUAAUACGUAGGGUGCGAGCGUUAAUCGGAAUUACUGGGCGUAAAGCGUGCGCAGGCGGUUUGCUAAGACCGAUGUGAAAUCCCCGGGCUCAACCUGGGAACUGCAUUGGUGACUGGCAGGCUAGAGUAUGGCAGAGGGGGGUAGAAU
rnacentral:rRNA from 1 species